AUCAUUGUUAAGGUUCUUUUCUUCGCUAAUAUACGUAUGUGUAUUUCAAUGCUGCAUACUAAAUGUAACAUAGUCAUGAACAAUACCCUAACGACACAAUGAAGAUUCCGAAUGCCAAUUCACAGACAAAUUCAACAGCGAGACGAUUCUUCUCACAUUUAAUGUGUUAAAAAAAAAAAAAAGGGAUUUCCUAAAGUACUUUCACCUUCACACCAUGACCUUUCAAGGGCUUUCUUCACUGACCUAAAAAAACUUGCAGACUGGAAGACGAUGUCGUUCAAGGGCUGAAGAAGACAUCUCGCGUCCAUGAAUACGCCCGCCCUCGUGGAUACUGCGCUCGGAGUAAUUUACCAUGCAUGCCAUCUCAGGCAGG